UACCUCCCCUUGCUGUUUAUUAUGUGUGAUAUUUUCCUUCAGAGACAGUUUGAACAUCUAUGAUACCAUCCUCUGAUCUUUCUAGGGGGACUGACUGACUUUGUCAUGGCAGCAAAAUUUAACAUCUUUAAUGAUGACCUUACAUUCACCCCUUUGAUGAUUCCUCGUCCCAGUCUACAGACGUUUGCUGAAAGGUCAAACAUGGGAUCAAGCCAAAACAGGUACGUUCCAGGGGAAGGGGGUCUGGUGGAGCAGGGAGAGGGAGCGAUGGGACGAGGCAGACGCAUAGAAUUUCACAAAUGUAAUUCCAGCAGCUCCAUUAAUAAUUUUCUAGAAUUCCUCUAUUUUUUUUUUUAACCUGGGAAUCUCCCAGCUCAGCUUUUGUGACGAUGCCCUGGAUCAUGCCAGGUACAACCAAAGCCUUCUGGUUAGUUAUUGCUAACGCGUGAUGUUUCUUUCUUUUCAGAGACGACGUCAACGUACUUGGAAAACAAAGUACAAAUGAUCAAUAACCCUUUUGCGAUCAACAGUUACCUGCUCUGAGGAUCAAUAGAAGUCUCUUGAGCACAGGCAGGAGUCUCACCAACACCGAUUCCUUUCUUUGUUCUUUAAUUGAAAGACUGAUUGAUUGAUUACAGGAGGAGCUCAUAGUGCAUGCUAACUUCAAUCACCUGCACACAAAAAUCCUCAACAGCAUGUACCUGAAGGAAAUGUAUGAGGAAAACAAAAGAGAUGAGCUCUCCUCAUGAAUAGAUCCUGUUUAGCCUCUGACAAGUAUAUGUUUGAUUUCUAAAAUCAGUUAAAUACAGGGUAAUCAAAAAGGCAGUAAUACACUUCAGCAGCAGAAUUCAUGUGUUUCGAGAUAGGUAAAUAGUGACUGAAGUAACUUGAAAAAUCAUUCAUUUGAGGUUGAAGCAAAAUAAGGCUUCCCUUUUUUUUUUUUUUCAGGAAAUGUAUGUCUUGUGUUAAUAGGAAAACAUUUCAUUCACACUAAAGUUAUCUCUUUUAGCUUUAGGACUGAUGUCUUUUGUUUAACUGUAGGUGGUAGUGCUAAUUUCAGACAUUUAAAAUGAAUUGUGGUCAUUUAAAAUGAAAAAGUCCUUUUUGAAAGAAUGUUUUCCAUGUUUUGUUUUUAGAACAUGGAAAUGAAAACAGUUUUGCAUACUCAAAAAGUUUCUGGAGAUCUGAAACAAAACAUUUCACGUCAACAUUCUACAACCAAGCUAACCUAUUUCCAAAAUUCGCCCAACUCUGUUUUUCCUUAGCAUAAAACAGGGCAUUGAGUUCUCCCAACCCCUUCAUUCUUGUUCUAGCCUUAUACAUUCUGUUGAAUUUGAUGUCAUCAGAAUUGCUUUGC
rnacentral:lncRNA from 1 species